CAGCUAUAUCAUGUUGAAACACCAGUUCUCAUACGAUCACUGAAGUUAAGCAAUGCCUGGUCAGUAGCUAGAUGGGUGACCACUUGGGAAUACUAGGUGUUGUAUG